UACAGAGGGUGCGAGCGUUAAGCGGAAUUACUGGGCGUAAAGCGUGCGUAGACGGUUUCGUAAGUCGGGUGUGAAAGCCCCGGGCUCAACCUGGGAAUUGCAUUCGAGACUGCGUAGCUAGGGUGCGGAAGAGGGAAGCGGAAUUUCCGGUGUAGCGGUGAAAUGCGUAGAUAUCGGAAGGAACAUCAGUGGCGAAAGCGGCUUCCUGGUCCAGCACCGACGUUCAGGCACGAAAGCGUGGGGAGCAAACAGG
rnacentral:rRNA from 1 species